ensembl:lncRNA
CAUUCUGCUCGUUGUCUCGCCCGCAGAUUUCCCGCCAUGUCGUAGUAAACUUUUUUCUGUGUGUUCGCCCGCUGUCUUCGUCCGCACUCACAUUUUAUGGUUUCUGACUGACACUAAAAAGCUUUAGAGACCUGUGAAACCAUGAAGCACGGAGACCAGCAGGUGCCUGUGGCCAUGCAGGACAUUGCAGUGUCGUGUCAUUUCACGUACUGUAGCACGAGAAGUGAAAUAGAAUGUCGUGUUUUUUAUGGCCUAGUUUUGUUUUGACUUUGUCAGUGCAGUUGUAUAAUUGCCACCUGUUAGAGGGACAGACGCACGACAGCAGACCCGUUUGACAAGCGACACAAGAGUUAUGGGCAGUGAUUCAGACUUCUGGAAUCGGGCAAACAAUGCAAUGAGCUUCUGGGUCGCGAUGUAUUAUGUUACGGCGUCCGGGACUGAGUCACAGUUUCACCCUUCACGACGGAUCCGCGACCACAGAAGGAGACGUUCAAUCACCUGACGGGAGAACAAGUCGCGAUAUACGAAACACGGAUCGCAUGAGACGUCUCCCCUUAUUACUAACUCCCCUUGAAGAAACUCAAAGGCCAAGUGGUAUCUUGCUCAAGCAUCAGUGCUCAGUACGAUUCUUGGUGUCGCCUGUGAGAGAAGAGCGAGCCGCUGACAAAGAACAAAAGCCCACCAGAACCAGAAGGAUUCACUGCUGAUUUCUGUCAACCUGCUGGCUCUGACUUUUCUUACUGCUGGAAGACGACGGUGUUAAAACAAGGCUGAAUGCUGAGGGGAGAGAGAUAAGAGGUCUGCAGUAAAAAAGAAUAACCUGUCGUAUCGGGAGUGUUACGGCCUCAUGAGUCACAGGACCAAACAGGAAACAUGAGCGAGCGCUUUCUUUUCAAAAGAAAAGUCCCGUUUGAUGCCAUCAAAGGAAACACUGCGUUGAACAUUUGUAUGUUUUUCAGUUUUCGAUACCGCAAGUCAAUGGGUGGUAUACUUGGUUUUUUCCAGAUUCUGAGUAUGACCUGUU